rnacentral:lncRNA from 1 species
UAUAGUCCUACAAGUCCUGCUUACUCUCCGACAAGUCCAUCAUAUUCGCCAACUUCUCCCAGCUACAGCCCGACCUCUCCCAGUUAUAGCCCUACAUCUCCUACUUAUAGUCCUACUUCCCCCAGUUACAGCCCAACUUCCCCCAGUUACAGUCCUACUUCGCCAAGCUACAGCCCUACUUCUCCAGUUUACAGUCCGACUUCCCCAGCCUACAGUCCAACAUCUCCUGCCUACAGCCCAACCUCACCAUCCUAUAGUCCAACAUCACCUUCCUAUAGUCCGACAUCACCUUCAUAUAGCCCAACAUCACCUUCAUAUAGCCCGACUUCACCAUCAUACAGUCCUACCUCACCUGCCUAUAGCCCAACUUCUCCGGGAUACAGUCCAACAUCUCCUAGCUAUAGUCCUACAUCCCCAAGUUAUAGCCCCACAUCUCCAAGUUACAAUCCUGCCUCAGCAAAGUACAGUCCUUCGCUUGCUUAUUCUCCAAGCAGUCCAAGG